UGGGGAAUAUUGCACAAUGGGCGAAAGCCUGAUGCAGCAACGCCGCGUGAGUGAUGAAGGCCUUCGGGUUGUAAAGCUCUGUCUUCUGGGACGAUAAUGACGGUACCAGAGGAGGAAGCCACGGCUAACUACGUGCCAGCAGCCGCGGGAAUACGUAGGUGGCAAGCGUUGUCCGGAUUUACUGGGCGUAAAGGGUGCUCAGGCGGAUUUGUAAGUCAGAGGUGAAAUCUUACAGCUUAACUGUGAAACUGCCUUUGAUACUGCAAGCCUAUAGUAUGGAAGAGAAUGAUGGAAUAUAUGGUGUAGCAGUGAAAUGCGUAGAUAUCAGAUAGAACACCCAUGGCGAAGUCAGUCACUUGGUCCAUUACUGACGC
rnacentral:rRNA from 1 species